AAAAUAGACUCGAACUCUGGACUUCAAUCCCCACAAGCCUUUGCUCCACUUCCCCAGAAUGCUUUGUCAUCUCACCUGGGCUGAGAUCGAGAAGGGAUUUAAGCUGAUUGCAAAGGCUUUUGCACUCUUUUGGACUUCCGUUUUGGGGCAGAGGUGGCUCUUUCCAUAAUGUAGAAUUUUAGGUAAAGAAGAUGCUACCUCUCUGAAUCCAGAACUGAACUGUUGGAGAAGAUACCAUGAAGAAGCCUCAAAACCAGACAGCUGCACAAAAAUUGAACUUUGGGUGUGGUUGAUUGAACAUUUAUUUGUAUGUAUACUUUCAUGCCAAAGGGGAUUGCCCCCUAACUGGCUUUUUGUCAAUGUGUUCAGCAAUUGUUGGUUUUGUUUUUUUUUUCUCUUAUCCUCAAAUUACUGUAAUGUUUAAGUUGAUUAUGUUCUCAUGAUCCUUUUUGGGGAAACUUCGCCCCUCAACAACGAUCAAAAGGAGGAAUGUAAAAAUAAGACUCGAACUCUGGACUUCAAUCCCCACAAGCCUUUGCUCCACUUCCCCAGAAUGCUUUGUCAUCUCACCUGGGCCGAGAUCGAGAAGGGAUUUAAGCUGAUUUCAAAGGCUUUUGCGCUCUUUUGGACUUCCGUUUUGGGGCAGAGGUGGCUCUUUCCAUAAUGUAGGUGAGGUCUUGUCUAGGCCUCUGGCCUAGGCAUGUGUUUUUUCUUACUUGUGUAUUCUUAAAUUCUCAAGCUUUAAUAAACCUCAUAAAAUAUAA